rnacentral:misc_RNA from 1 species
CUUUUUUUUUUUGCCUUCUCUUUUUUCUAAGUGGUAUUGUAAUAAUAGUCUUAGAAUCCUUAGAGCAAUAAAUUACCCUCCCCCCUACUCCUGCAAAAUGAUGGAAAGCAAGGAGGCUCAUGCAUUUGGAAAGCCCUUUAUUAUAAUGGUAGUCUUUAAUCUGCAAUUGAUUGGAGUAUCCGAUUGCUGGAAAGUUGAGGGACCAUGGACUAGAGAGAACUUAUGAAUUAUUUCUCAUGUUCAGGAACCAUCAUCUUGAAGUAUCUGUUGAUUUAGUAUAAAUUUCACUAGCACCAUUUUAAAUUUAGCCUAAAUCUGCUGCCCAUGUUCUCAUAUUUACCAUGUCUUUUAUUGAGCUGUGCAACUGAAACCACAAUCUCUCAAGUGUUGAAAUUCUUUUUGAUACUAUUUUGCGCAUGCUUAUUUAGUUCUGAAGG